GAUUUUCCCACUUAUUCAGAUAUAAUCUGGUACGAUGUGGAAGUAACAGAAAAACUUUCAACGUUUCUUCAUGUGAAUCGGGACAAAGAAUCUGGAAAAUUCAUUUGGAGAUGACGUAACCGUCUAUAAAAUAUUCUACGUUUACGAAACACACUUGCUAUAAACUAAAAACAUUUUCAUAUCUAAAUUCCAUUUGCUCAUUUAAAAAUAAUAAUAAACAAGAGAAAAAUCAAGACGGUAUGGCCGGUCGACCAAGAACUGUGAUAUGUUAUAUAUGUGGCCGGGAAUUUGGUACACAAUCUAUCGAUAUCCACGAACCACAAUGUUUAAAAAAAUGGAAAUUACAAAACAGUCAGUUACCAAAGAAGGAACGUAGACCCUUGCCAGUCAAACCACAAGUACUGCCGUUGAGUGGCAAUGACUGUUACGACAUUGACUUACGAAAUCAAGCUGCUUGGGAGAGUAGUCAGGCAGCUCUGGUUCCCUGUGACGUUUGUGGAAGAACAUUCUUACCAGACAGACUUGCAGUACAUCAGAGAAGUUGCAGACCCAAGAAGGUACGAAUUAAAGUGUGAUGGCAAUAUAUGUAUUAGAUCCGGGGCAAUGGGUUAACAGAAAUUUUGGAGCGUCAGACAAAUGACUUUUGCUAUUCGAUUACGAUUACUUAAGUUCUUAGUUCAAAUUCCACCAAGGUCAGCUUUGUCUUAUCCUUUUUGAGUCGAUAAAGUAAGUACCAGCCUAGUACUAGAUUGAUUUAAUACAUUAUACCCUUCUCCCAAGUGAGGUCUAAUACCUACGUUAGAAAUCAACAUAUAAGAAUGUUCAGUACAACAUGCACCAGCAUGACCGCAGCCACUUGGCUGAAACACAUAAAUAAAUAAAUAAAAUAAAUAAAUAAUAAAAAAAUA